rnacentral:tRNA from 12 species
UCCCCGUUCGUCUAAUCGGUAAGACGCCUGGCUCUGGACCAGGUAAUUGAGGUUCGAGUCCUUGGCGGGGAGC